UCUCUGGUGGUCCAGUGGCUAAGACUCUGCACUUACGCUGCAGGGGGCACAGGUUCAAUCCUUGGUCGAGGAA
rnacentral:tRNA from 1 species